rnacentral:rRNA from 1 species
AUUCGAUUAGAGUUUGAUCAUGGCUCAGAACGUACGCUGGCGGCACGCCUAACACAUGCAAGUCGAACGAAGUAGCAAUACUUAGUGGCAGACGGGUGAGUAACAUGUAGGUAUCUGCCCUUUGGCCUGGAAUAACACGAGGAAACUUGUGCUAAUACCGGAUAAGUCUUUACGGAGAAAGCUUUAUGCACCAUUGGAUGAGCCUGCACUUGAUUAGUUUGUUGGUGGGGUAAUGGCCUACCAAGACUGUGAUCAAUAGCUGAUUUGAGAGGAUGAUCAGCCACAUUGGGACUGAGACACGGCCCAAACUCCUACGGGAGGCAGCAGUGGGGAAUCUUGCACAAUGGAGGAAACUCUGAUGCAGCGAUGCCGCGUGAGUGAAGAAGGCCCUUGGGUUGUAAAGCUCUUUCGUCGGGGAAGAAAAUGACUGUACCCGAAUAAGAAGGUCCGGCUAACUUCGUGCCAGCAGCCGCGGUAAUACGAAGGGACCUAGCGUAGUUCGGAAUUACUGGGCUUAAAGAGUUCGUAGGUGGUUGAAAAAGUUAGUGGUGAAAUCCCAGAGCUUAACUCUGGAACUGCCAUUAAAACUUUUCAGCUAGAGUAUGAUAGAGGAAAGCAGAAUUUCUAGUGUAGAGGUGAAAUUCGUAGAUAUUAGAAAGAAUACCAAUUGCGAAGGCAGCUUUCUGGAUCAUUACUGACACUGAGGAACGAAAGCAUGGGUAGCGAAGAGGAUUAGAUACCCUCGUAGUCCAUGCCGUAAACGAUGUGUGUUAGACGUUGGAAAUUUAUUUUCAGUGUCGCAGCGAAAGCGAUAAACACACCGCCUGGGGAGUACGACCGCAAGGUUAAAACUCAAAUGAAUUGACGGGGACCCGCACAAGUAGUGGAGCAUGUGGUUUAAUUCGAAGAUACGCGCAGAACCUUACCAACACUUGACAUGUUCGUCGCGACUCUAAGAGAUUAGAGUUUUCGGUUCGGCCGGACGAAACACAGGUGCUGCAUGGCUGUCGUCAGCUCGUGUCGUGAGAUGUUGGGUUAAGUCCCGCAACGAGCGCAACCCUCACUUUUAGUUGCCAUCAUUUAGUUGGGCACUCUGAAAGAACUGCCAGUGAUAAGCUGGAGGAAGGUGGGGAUGACGUCAAGUCCUCAUGGCCCUUACGUGUUGGGCUACACACGUGCUACAAUGGUAUCUACAACAGGAAGCAAGACUGCGAGGUCAAGCAAAUCCUUAAAAGAUACCUCAGUUCGGAUUGCACUCUGCAACUCGAGUGCAUGAAGCUGGAAUUACUAGUAAUCGUGGAUCAGCGUGCCACGGUGAAUGCGUUCCCGGGUCUUGUAGA